CAACACUCCCACACUCUUAACUUAAGAAGGGCCUUAGCCUAAGUAACUCCAUUUUAAAAUAAAACUCCAGUCCCCACCAGGCACGCCUACGGAGCCCUCCAAUAUUGUCAUCAGGCUUAGCCUGAAAAAAAUAAGUCAUUUUCCACAACCCUGAUAAAACUCAGAGUGAAGUCACUGCCACUUGCCUUCAUCCUGAUAAAGGCAGAGGUAACAGAUCAGGGUGGAAACCACCAGACCAGAUGUCCUGACCCCAGAAUUAAAGACGUCACUGAGAAACCCAGAAAUGGCUGAUAGGGAUUGAAAGGGUGAGUAGAAGAUCCAAGAUUAAGCAUAAAUGAUAGAGCCAAUGAACAGACAUUCAGCCAGCCCACACCGAUGGCCACGUGCCGGAGAGCCUGAUGAGGACCUAGAUUAACAUUCCAACUCUUCUCAUCAUCUGCCUGAUCCUCUGCCUGA
rnacentral:lncRNA from 1 species